GUCAACGAAGAGCUAAUCUUUUGCCAGUUUUAUGUUUAAUGCAAUGGUAUACAGUGCCUACUAUACAGCUACAGUACACCGAAGUGACCUUUACGUAGGUCAUCUGCUCAAUCCAUUUUCAUAUAUAGACUAUACUUCACUGGAUCACACCUCCAUCAUGAUGUCGGUACCAAAAAAUAAUCAAGUAACCUGCAAAUAGCGGAAAAUAACCAAGUCACAUUUCUCCUUGUACACCGUUAUUUUGUUAUUUAUUUGGAAUAUGUAUGGUAUUUUUUUUAUUUUAUGAUAAAACACAUUAUUCUCCGUUUUUAAUGUUAUAUUAAUUAACUAUUAUUUAAUUUCAUUUGUUCUUUUUUCCUGUUCGGUUAUUUUUUGCACAUACAUAUAUAGCAUUCCGUUAUAUUUAGUUAUUAAUACGUAUAUUUUACAACUUUCUUGCUGUUUCGCUUUUGCUUUUUUGUUUCUUGCCCUAAAUUUGGCAAUUUGAUGGCCUUUCUUUUGUUAUUUUAUUACUCGCUUAGGUGUUUUGGCUGGUCGGGCGCUGUAUACGCAUACACACACACGCCUUUCAAGAAAAAAAAAAAAACAUCAAAAAAAUAAA